GCGAUGAUUCGCUCAGCAGGUAGAGCGGCGGAUGAAAAUCCGCGGUCGCCGGUUCGAAUCCGGCUCAUUGCACCA
rnacentral:tRNA from 1 species